UACGUAGGCAGCGAGCGUUGUUCGGAAUUACUGGGCGUAAAGAGUGUGUAGGCGGUGCUCUAAGUUCGGUGUGAAAUCUCCUGGCUUAACUGGGAGGGUGCGCCGGAAACUGGAGUGCUCGAGGGUGGGAGAGGAAAGCGGAAUUCCUGGUGUAGCGGUGAAAUGCGUAGAUAUCAGGAGGAACACCUGCGGUGUAGACGGCUUUCUGGACCAUUACUGACGCUGAGACACGAAAGCGUGGGUAGCAAACAGG
rnacentral:rRNA from 1 species